CAUUUACUGCUCUGUUUUCAACUUAAUGCCCCCGUCGUCUAAAUUUUCUGACAAUACCACCAAAUGGCAUUUAUCAUCCAAUAAUUGCAGCCUGCAGAAAACUGGUCAGUGAGAAUGAUUAACGCGAUGACUCAUGGGCUGUGUUAGCCCACCUGAUGGGAGCGGUGAUAUAUUAUGUGGAGCAGAGGACGGAGUCUGUAUCCGAAUGUGGGUAAAAAGUGUGUGCCUUCUGUGUGUUUUGGCACAUACAGUGGAGCAGUUACAUUAAACAGUUAUAUCCAGAGAGACACAAAUUGAAAAGGUGACCAUUUUGGGGUAAGUGCAGUAAUAAGGUAAUGUGGUAAAGGGAGACUUUCCGUAUGUGUGUUUCGCUGUCUGUGUGAGAGAAACUGAGUCAGACAGAGAGCAGACAGAGAGCGAGAGAGGAAGAGGAAACAGGAGGAGGGUUGCUGCCAGAGGGUGAAUGUUGGAACAUAGAGCAUGCUGUGUUGAUUUGAUUAAAUUCAGUUCUGUUCUAUUUGCAGUAGGCCUAGUUACUCAGCUAUAUUUGUACAGUGCUGUCUGCAGAGUUUUAACAACACCGACACAGAUCCGUGUGAGAGCGGGAGGCCUGGGAUUAGGCUGCAAAAUACACUUUUGAAAAGGAUACGCCAAGUUUUGGGGGAGAUUAGCCCCCGUUUGUACGGUUUAUUUAAAUUAAGCCACGUGUCCCCCGUUUGGACCUGCUCUCAGUGCUAACACUUUAACAAUUUAUCGUACAAAAACUACAAAAAACGUGGAGAGAGGACUAACAUUAUCGCAAAUUUAAAAAAAGAUGAAAGAAUAGGCCUUGAAGCGGUGCUAUAAAUAAAUACCCAGCAGCGUUGUGUACAGUACUUCUUUAUUUUGAAUACCAAAGACUGUAAUUGCAUCUGCAUGGCUAAACAUUUAUUCAUUUAUUCAUUCUAUUUUUAUUUAUCUUUCAAAGUGUCCCUUGUAGUGGAUGCCAUCAGAGGAGGAAAAGCUUAAUCAGCAGCCCUCAUUUACAUCCUCCUUGUUUAAGAGCCAAAAAAGAUCCCACCCAGGUUUUCUACUGGUUUUCUACUGGGCAGGAAAUUGACUGGCUUUAAACCACAGUGGAGCUUCCAUGGAAAUUAUCCUUGACGACAGUAACUGACUGUGAGUAGUUGCAGACCUGGUCCCAUCUUCAAAGCAACCAUUUCAAAGGCAACAGGAUCCCAAGUUCAUUGCACGCAGUCCCAAUAAUUUUGGUGGUGCCGUGGUCUGCGCCCUGUUUCCUCUAAUGUGACAUUACCCUCUUCACACUUUACGUUCUUCUCCACGUACCUUUGGCAAAGGUGGAUGCCCCGCUACUGCUGCAUGAAACCCAUCUGACCAGACACACAGCUUCACUCUCUGUUCAACAGACACAC